ACCUAAUGAUUAAUAGAUAAGUUCUUUAAAAUUAAAAAAUUUGGCGGUAUUUUAGUCUAUUCAGAGGAACCUGUUCUGUAAUUGAUAGUCCACGAUUAAAAAUACUUUUGUUUUAAAUUUACAUAUCGUUGUAGUUAGAAUAUUUUAUAAGAAAAUGGAAUGUUCAAUAUGUUAAUAAUAAGAAAAAUUAUUAAAAAUUAAAAUUUAAAUCAAAUCAAGGUGUAGUUGAUAUUGAAGUAGAAAUGGGUUACAUUUAUUAAAUAAUUUAGGAUAAUUUUUUUAAAAAAGGUUAGAAUUUGGAUUUGAUAGUAAUUUUAUUUAUU
rnacentral:rRNA from 1 species